GACGAACGCUGGCGGCGUGCCUAAUACAUGCAAGUAGAACGCUGAAGGAGGAGCUUGCUUCUCUGGAUGAGUUGCGAACGGGUGAGUAACGCGUAGGUAACCUGCCUGGUAGCGGGGGAUAACUAUUGGAAACGAUAGCUAAUACCGCAUAAUAUUGACUAUUGCAUGAUAGUCAGUUGAAAGGUGCAACUGCACCACUACCAGAUGGACCUGCGUUGUAUUAGCUAGUUGGUGGGGUAACGGCUCACCAAGGCGACGAUACAUAGCCGACCUGAGAGGGUGAUCGGCCACACUGGGACUGAGACACGGCCCAGACUCCUACGGGAGGCAGCAGUAGGGAAUCUUCGGCAAUGGACGGAAGUCUGACCGAGCAACGCCGCGUGAGUGAAGAAGGUUUUCGGAUCGUAAAGCUCUGUUGUAAGAGAAGAACGAGUGUGAGAGUGGAAAGCUCACACUGUGACGGUAUCUUACCAGAAAAGGACGGCUAACUACGU
rnacentral:rRNA from 1 species